GACGAACGCUGGCGGCGUGCUUAACACAUGCAAGUCGAACGGAAAGGCCCUGCUUUUGUGGGGUGCUCGAGUGGCGAACGGGUGAGUAACACGUGAGUAACCUGCCCUUGACUUUGGGAUAACUUCAGGAAACUGGGGCUAAUACCGGAUAGGAGCUCCUGCUGCAUGGUGGGGGUUGGAAAGUUUCGGCGGUUGGGGAUGGACUCGCGGCUUAUCAGCUUGUUGGUGGGGUAGUGGCUUACCAAGGCUUUGACGGGUAGCCGGCCUGAGAGGGUGACCGGCCACAUUGGGACUGAGAUACGGCCCAGACUCCUACGGGAGGCAGCAGUGGGGAAUAUUGCACAAUGGGCGGAAGCCGGAUGCAGCAACGCCGCGUGCGGGAUGACGGCCUUCGGGUUGUAAACCGCUUUCGCCUGUGACGAAGCGUGAGUGACGGUAAUGGGUAAAGAAGCACCGGCUAACUACGG
rnacentral:rRNA from 1 species